GACGAACGCUGGCGGCGUGCUUAACACAUGCAAGUCGAACGGAAAGGCCCUGCUUGCAGGGUGCUCGAGUGGCGAACGGGUGAGUAACACGUGGGUGAUCUGCCCCUUACUUUGGGAUAAGCCUGGGAAACUGGGUCUAAUACUGGAUAGGACCAUGCUGUAGGUGGUGUGGUGGAAAGAUUAGUUUCGGUAAGGGAUGAGCUCGCGGCCUAUCAGCUUGUUGGUGGGGUAAUGGCCUACCAAGGCGUCGACGGGUAGCCGGCCUGAGAGGGUGGACGGCCACAUUGGGACUGAGAUACGGCCCAGACUCCUACGGGAGGCAGCAGUGGGGAAUAGUGCAAAAUGGGCGCAAGCCUGAUGCAGCGACGCCGCGUGGGGGAUGACGGCCUUCGGGUUGUAAACUCCUUUCAGCCAUGACGAAGCCCUUGUGGUGACGGUAGUGGUAGAAGAAGCACCGGCUAACUACGUG
rnacentral:rRNA from 1 species